GUGGGAUCCCACGUCCGCUGCACCCAGGCCGGUGCUGCCAGUCGGUUGGGACGGGCGGGCAGGGAAAUGAAGCGAGCGACGGCCUCUCCAAGGGGACGACCCUGAAGCUUGGGGGCGGGCCCUGGGCUCCCGGGAGUGCACCACGCAGCUGCACAGGAGCCCGGAUUCUGCGUCCCUUUUUUUGUCCUUUCGGUAGAGUCCUCCACCUCUUGAAUUCUGUGUUUUAUGGCAGCCUGACAACUUCUGUGCUUUGCCAUGGCGCUAGAUAAAUGAAGUCUUUUUAAAUAUCUGGGUAGAAGACCAGACUCCCAACUUCAUAACACCCCUCCUAUUUAACUGCAUUUUAGAAAGCCCCCUCCCCAAAUUCUGAAAUGACAGAUUCCAAUGGGGCACAAGAGGAAGAAGAAAAUGACUUCAGAACCUUUUCCAUCUGGGGCCUGUCACCACCAGCCACGACUGUGGAACCGGGAUUUGAAACAAAACGCCAGGCCUUGCUUCCUGAGCAUUUUCUCAAGAGUCCAUCGUGAGAUACAGACAAGAUAAUUCCUUUUACUGGAAAAUGGUAUCUCCAAAUGAUCUACACAUCUGAGGCCACCGUCUUCGCGAAUGUACUUUAAAUUUGGCUGCUGAUAAGCUACCAGUCUUUCAGCAUCACAUAAAAAUGAUUGGGAAAUUUCUGUGCACAUUCUUCUCAACCAUGUUUAAGUGCAAGGCCAACAGGAUCCUGUAGAAGCUUUGACUCAGCCUCAGAACAUCUUUAUAAGGUAUUGAGUACUGGCAAUUUCACCAUCACCAGCUGACUUGCCACUGACAUUAGGAAAUGCCCAGCUGUGGAGCAAAAAGCAGCAUAGGCAUCAAGUGUAUUACGGGGUUGGAAAUUGUGUUUCUCAAUCACUGAGUAGGGAGUGGUUGGGAGCAAGGCCUUCACUGCCAAGAGAGUUCCUGACUGUCACAUUCAAUCCUUCUACUGCCUGAAAGGUCUCCCAGCCAGUUGGAUGGGUCAUUUUGAAAGAACUCCUCUGCUGAAACCCACAUCACUGACUGCUUACGUUGGACUUUGGCCAUUUAGAUUGUACUGCAACUGCAUUCAGCUGUGUUCCUUGGCAUUGAAGUCAUGAAGACAGUCCAUGUGCUGAGGUUCUUAAAAGUUGUAAAAUCCUGUGACUUGAGUUCCAGAGCUAUUGGUCUGUAUUAUCACUGCUCUACUGGGAAAUGUUCCUCUCCCCCCCUCCCCCGCCCCAAAACUAUAUUAAUACUCUUUACUAAUAGGGGCAUCAUAUUCUUUGGAGAUACGGUCAAUGAAGAAAGGCUAAAGAUAUUUGGAAAAUGUAACACCAUGCUAUUUCAUCGAAAUUGUUAACUCAUUUUUAUUUCAGCAUUUAAAAAAUAAAUACCGCAAAAAAUAGAGA